rnacentral:misc_RNA from 1 species
GGAGGGAUCAUUAGCGAGUUCUAAACUCCCAACCCUCGUGAACCUACCUAUUGUUGCUUCGGCGGGGCACCCCAGCACCUGGGGUGCUGCCCCCUCCAGGGGGCGCCCGCCGGUGCACGCAACCAAAACUCUGUUUUACGGUGUAUUCUGAGUAAUUACAAAUAAGUUAAAACUUUCAGCAACGGAUCUCUUGGUUCUGGCAUCGAUGAAGAACGCAGCGAAAUGCGAUAAGUAAUGUGAAUUGCAGAAUUCAGUGAAUCAUCGAAUCUUUGAACGCACAUUGCGCCCGCUAGUAUUCUGGCGGGCAUGCCUGUUCGAGCGUCCUUUGGACCCUCGGGCCCGGGUGGAUUCGUCCCCCAGCGGCCCGGCGUUGGAGGCCCGCGGCUGCCGCGGCCCCCUAAAUACAGUGGCGGACCUCUCCAGGCCCUGGCGUAGUAAACAAUCUCGCCUUCGGUUCCGGAGCAGUGCCUUGCCCCCAGCACCAACUUAUAAGUCUGGACCUCGAAUCAGGUAGGAAUACCCGCUGAACUUAAGCAUAUCAAUAAGCGGAGGAAAAGAAACCAACAGGGAUUGCCCUAGUAACGGCGAGUGAAGCGGCAACAGCUCAAAUUUGAAAUCUGGCCUCGUGCCCGAGUUGUAAUUUGCAGAGGCCCGUUGGGCGCGGUAACUGCUGAGUCCCCUGGAAUGGGGCGCCACAGAGGGUGAGAGCCCCGUACGGCGGUAGUCCAAGCCCAUGUAUCGGUCCCUCGACGAGUCGAGUAGUUUGGGAAUGCUGCUCAAAAUGGGAGGUAAAUUUCUUCUAAAGCUAAAUACUGGCCAGAGACCGAUAGCGCACAAGUAGAGUGAUCGAAAGAUGAAAAGCACUUUGAAAAGAGGGUUAAAAAGUACGUGAAAUUGCUGAAAGGGAAGCGCCUAUGACCAGACUUGCGCCCGGUUGAUCAUCCAGCGUUCUCGCUGGUGCACUCUGCCGGGCACAGGCCAGCAUCGGCUUCGGCGGGGGCAUAAAAGCUUCGGGAAUGUGGCUCCUCCGGGAGUGUUAUAGCCCGUCGCUGAAUACCCUCGCCGGGGCCGAGGACCGCGCAUUGCAAGGAUGCUGGCGUAAUGGUCAUCAGCGACCCGUCUUGAAACACGGACCAAGGAGUCGACCAUUUGUGCGAGUGUUAGGGUGUAAAACCCUCACGCGCAAUGAAAGUGAACGCAGGUGGGAGCCUCGGCGCACCAUCGACCGAUCCGGACGUUUACAGAAGGAUUUGAGUAAGAGCAUAACUGGUCGGACCCGAAAGAUGGUGAUCUAUGCCUGUAUAGGGUGAAGCCAGAGGAAACUCUGGUGGAGGCUCGCAGCGGUUCUGACGUGCAAAUCGAUCGUCAAAUAUGGGCAUGGGGGCGAAAGACUAAUCGAACCAUCUAGUUGCUGGUUUCCGC